UGAUGAUUAUAUUCCAUGAUUUGAAAAGUAGUCACUAACUGCAGAAAAAACGUUUGGGAAGCUGGUGGAGCCUGUAUUGGUGUUUUGGAUCUACUCAUAAAUGCAACAAGCGGAUUGGUCAUGCUGUCCUUGUUCCUGAACCUGUUGCACCAGCAGGUCUAGCUGCUACUGUGCCACCAAAUCCUUCAACAGAUUAGUGCUAAUCAGUGCCACUGCUGAUCGAAACUGCGCGACACUAUCGCAGUGCCAACUGCUCUAUCUACACAUCAUGUGUAAUUGUAAAAUAGAUUU